rnacentral:lncRNA from 1 species
UUUCACACUACAACAAAAAACGGUCUAUAGCGACACUUUUAAAUAUAGGUACAUGUUAAAAAAGUGCUGCUAGCUAAAAUUACCGACACUUUUAAAAAGUGUUGCUAUAUGUGGAGUCGCUAGGUAUAUAGUGACAGUUAAAGAGUGUCGCUAUAACCUAAAAGAGUGCUGCUAAUUUACCAACACUUAUUUAAGCAUUUAGCAACCGCCGAAACUAUAUCUCGUUGGCUGCGGUGGCGGAGAAGGACGACAGUAAAGGCUCUUCAUCUAGAAUUUCAGUGGAUUGAGUGAAGAGAGAAGAAAAGAUGGUAAUUGAUUUUUCUUUUUUUUUCUUUUCUGUUUGUAAUCGGGCUAAAUGGACUGGGUGUGGUGGGUUGAGUAGCGUAAUUUUUUAUUUUUGGUUGGAUUGGGCUUUAUAUUAAGACAUUAGUAGAUGUGUUUUUAAGUUUUAGUAUAAAUGGGACACUUACUCAAAAGUGUCCCAAACAUGUGUCCCUAUAACUUAAUUCUGUUGUAGUGUCAUUAUAUGCUUUGUAC